rnacentral:rRNA from 1 species
GAUGAACGCUAGCUACAGGCUUAACACAUGCAAGUCGAGGGGUAGCAGGGUAGCAAUACCGCUGACGACCGGCGCACGGGUGAGUAACACGUAUCCAACCUUCCCAUAACUCUGGGAUAGCCUUUCGAAAGAAAGAUUAAUACCGGAUGGUACUUUUUCAAGGCAUCUUGAGAAAGUUAAAGAUUUAUUGGUUAUGGAUGGGGAUGCGUUCCAUUAGAUAGUUGGUGAGGUAACGGCUCACCAAGUCUUCGAUGGAUAGGGGUUCUGAGAGGAAGGUCCCCCACAUUGGUACUGAGACACGGACCAAACUCCUACGGGAGGCAGCAGUGAGGAAUAUUGGUCAAUGGGCGAGAGCCUGAACCAGCCAAGUAGCGUGAAGGAUGAAGGUCCUAUGGAUUGUAAACUUCUUUUAUAGUAGAAUAAAGUGAUCCACGUGUGGAUUUUUGUAUGUAUACUAUGAAUAAGGAUCGGCUAACUCCGUG